CCUACGGGAGGCAGCAGUGGGGAAUAUUGGGCAAUGGGCGAAAGCCUGAACCAGCACCGCCGCGUGAAGGAAGAAGGCUAUCGGGGUGUAAACUUCUUUUGACAGGGAAGAGCAGAAGACGGUACCUGUCGAAUAAGCCACGGAGAACUACGUGCCAGCAGCCGCGGUAGUACGUAGGUGGCAAGCGUUGUCCGAGUUUACUGGGGGUAAAGGGCGUGUAGCCGGGCUUACAAGUCAGAUGUGAAAUCCGGGGGCUCAACCCCCGAACUGCAUUUGAAACUGUUGGUCUUGAGUAUCGGAGGGGCAGGCGGAAUUCCUAGUGUAGCGGUGGAAUGCGUAGAUAUUAGGAGGAACACCAGUGGCGAAGGCGGCCUGCUGGACGACAACUGACGGUGAGGCGCGAAAGCGUGGGGAGCAAACAGGAUUAGAUACCCCGGUAGUC
rnacentral:rRNA from 1 species